rnacentral:rRNA from 1 species
ACGCUCGACACCUACGGGGGGCAGCAGUGGGGAAUAUUGCACAAUGGGGGAAACCCUGAUGCAGCGAUGCCGCGUGAAGGAAGAAGUAUCUCGGUAUGUAAACUUCUAUCAGCAGGGAAGAAAAUGACGGUACCUGACUAAGAAGCCCCGGCUAACUACGUGCCAGUAGCCGCGGUAAUCUGAGCGGGCUGGCAAGGC